UUGUGGCUGGGGGUGAAAGGCCAAUCAAACCGGGAGAUAGCUGGUUCUCCCCGAAAGCUAUUUAGGUAGCGCCUCGUGAAUUCAUCUCCGGGGGUAGAGCACUGUUUCGGCAAGGGGGUCAUCCCGACUUACCAACCCGAUGCAAACUGCGAAUACCGGAGAAUGUUAUCACGGGAGACACACGGCGGGUGCUAACGUCCGUCGUGAAGAGGGAAACAACCCAGACCGCCAGCUAAGGUCCCAAAGUCAUGGUUAAGUGGGAAACGAUGUGGGAAGGCCCAGACAGCCAGGAUGUUGGCUUAGAAGCAGCCAUCAUUUAAAGAAAGCGUAAUAGCUCACUGGUCGAGUCGGCCUGCGCGGAAGAUGUAACGGGGCUAAACCAUGCACCGAAGCUGCGGCAGCGACACUAUGUGUUGUUGGGUAGGGGAGCG
rnacentral:rRNA from 1 species